UGUAGACAUGACCCACGGAGGAGGUGGAUGUUGUCAUUUAUAUGGUCUCACUUACAAUGGUGGCUAUCAAUGGACUUUUAAACAGGUUUCCUGGCCUGAGAAACAGCUUAUCCCUUAAGCAACAAGGGAAAUACCAGAAAUGGCAAAUCUGGGGCAAAAGAAAGGACACAAAGGUUCAAGCGGUGUCAGAUGGAGAGCUGAACAUGUCUGCACGAGGCAGCGGAGGCAGCAGUUCCAGCCUUCCUGGGACCCCGGGAGGCGAUGUAAACCCUGCCAACAGCGUCCUGAGCUGGGCUGUGUCCUUUGAGAAGCUGUUGGAAGACCCCUGUGGCGUUGGUUACUUUACGGCCUUUUUAACGUCAGAAGUCAGUGCAGAAAACAUCUUAUUCUGGAAAGAAUGUGAAAAGUUCAGGAAAAUACCAGCCACCUCUCUGGAUCAGUUAAAAGCAGCAGCUCGCUUUAUCUAUGACACCUAUGUGUCUGACACCGCUCCCUACUGUGUGAACAUCGAUGACACUGCCAAGACGGAGGAGAAGGACCUGGAGAAUCCCACUCCUGAGAUGUUCAACAAAGCUCAGGCCCAGAUCUUCAAAUUGAUGAAGAUGGACAGCUACCGGCGCUUUGUACGCUCUCCUCUCUACCAGCGCUGCACUUUGGCCAGUGUAGAAGGGAAACAUUUACCUCAGAUCUCGAAGGAGCCGGUCCGCAUAGGUUCCUGGGAGGACAUGUUCAACAGGAGUUCCCCGAGAGACAAUAAGGACAAGUCCGACUCGAAUAGCCUGCCAGGUGCUAAAAGUGAGAAACGACAUAAAAGAGGAUCCUGGGGAGAUGCAUCAAAUGGCCAAGGCUCAGUUUUCGUGAAGGGCUCAAACAUGUCUACCAAAUCAACCAGCAGUGUGGAGCUUGGCUCCCUCUGCAGACAGAUGGAGAACGGUCGGCCCAGUUCCAGCAACCGUGAUCAAGGAGCUGCCAUUGGGAGUCGUCUGGGGAUGGAGGGAGGAUACUGCUGUGUCUACCUGCCUGAUGGCAGUGCCUCUCUGGCCCCUACCCCUAACGGCCAGCCAAUCAAGGACAUGCUGGCUAGCCUGUGUGAGAAACGGGGCUUUCCAUUAAAAGAUGUCAUCAUUUACCUUCAUGGCAAGGAGAAGCCCUUAUCGUUGGAGCAGGACUGCUCUGUGCUGAGGGAUCAGCAGGUCUCUCUCGAGCUCAGGGUGAUGUUUACGCUGGAGAAUGCCUUCACUGGUAAGACAGUGGCAAUCAUGGUGAAGUCCAGUAAGACGCUGCAGGACGCCCUUUCUGCAGUGCUGCAGAAACACCACCUAAAGCCCCAAGAAGCUGUGGUCACCAUGGUUGGAAGUGACGAGCCUGUGAACCUGAGCUGCUCCGUCUACAGGCUGGCCAAUAAGAUGCUACGGUUGGACAAAGCCAAAGGUAAAGAUCAGAGCAUCAUUCCAAGAGGGGGUGGUUCUUCUCCCCAUACACAGGCAGGAGCAGUAAGUGCAUCUCUGGAGCCUCGAUCAUCAGCACAACCUGAGAGAGUCAGGACACCACACAGACCCAGGUUUCUGGAUAUGCUGACAAAAGCUCAGUGCUGCAGAGUAGAUGACCAGAGAGGCCUUCUGACCAAAGACCAGCUAGAGAUCCCCUUAUUUCUGCAGCGUCCUUCAGACCAGAGACAGAAUACAGACAAUCCCUCUACAACCAGCUCUUUCAGUGCUGACUCGAAAACUGAAUCGGAGGACAAAGAAAUCUCUUCUGCUGUAGCCAAGAAACCUGAGGAAAGUUCUGUGGCUCCUAAAUCUGGAUCUAAAGACUUAAGGGAAACAAAGGUUUGAUGGAAAGCUGUGUUGAAAUACAAUAAUAAGCCUUAAAACCCAAUGAACAGAACAAAAAUGUGACAUUAUUUACAUAAAAAGAUAUUGUUGGUGUAAAUGCACUUUUUUAGUAAAUAAGCUUGGUCAGCAGUAUAUAUAUAUUAUUUUUUUGGGGCCUCAGUAUUUGAUCAAAUGGCCUGUUAAAGAAAAGUUUAGUUAGGAAUAAAAUAUAUGGAAAACAUUUGUGUAAUUUAUGAAACACUACAGAUCCCGAUUUGAGAAUGUGUAUAAAUUUGUACUGUACCCUGUAUAAAACAUUCUAUCUUAAUAUUGAAUUCUGGAACAUGUUAUUGAUGUAGCAAGUCAGUCAAACCUGCAGUCGUUGUUGUAUGUUAAAUCUAAAGCAUAACCGUGUCUUCAAAGUAAACAUUUGUUCUGUACAGCCCUCGAAAACAAAUUUGCAUGACUUUGCUUUAUGGUUAAAUGUUAUAUGAAGAGUAGCUUAAAUUACUUGAAAUUGUUUGAAUUUUUGUGUGCACUUUUUUUGUUUUGUUUUUUUCCAUGCAUGUUUUGCAUGCUAUGCUGUGAUAGCACUUUGAAGCUCUGAUCAUGUCCUGUUUCCAGAAAUCCUUGACUGCAUUUCAGGGUCCAAGUGAUUAACCAUUUGCUCGUUAUGAGGGUAUCUGAUCCAGUGUUAUUGUAAUAUUCAAUGAAGUGUAUCUGACGGUUUCCAUACUUGGAUCUGAUUGUUCAUUUCUUGCAUGGAAUGAGUGUAAACUGAGCUUUUAAGCCUCAGUGAUUGGUUUUAUUAUUUUUUUUAAAUCAGAUCAAUUUCUGCCUGAAGUAAUGAUCUGGAUUAAAUUAUACAAUUAGUGCCCUGUAAGAUCUGUGAGGCUCAGAGUGAUUGUGAGUCAUGCACAACAACAUAAUUAGGAAGAGUUUGAUUAAAUUUCUGUUUAUUUUACUGAUAAAAGAAAUCUAAUGCUUUUAUGUAAUUUAAUUCUUGUCCAGCAAUGAGGAUAUUUAGUAGUUAUUGGUUGCUUAAAUAAGUUUUUAUCCAAGGAAAGUGGUUAAUAUUUCCUCAGACCUGUUGCUGAAAGGUGAUUUGCAGUUUUUCCUCGAUGGCGAGGCAUUACACCAACCUAUUAGAUGAGUCAUGGAUGAUCUCAUCCCCUUGGAUGACGCAAGCAGUUUAUACAUUUCAUAGUAUGUGGCAGUACAUAGUUUGGAAUGAAUCCCACCUACUAUACCUUGCUUGAUUGUUGUUUACAUGGCAUUAUCAUGGGUCUAGUUAAGCAUUAGAGAAUGAAUGGCACAACAUUAAUAUGCAAAGUAUUCAGACACAGAUGACUAGUAGCAUAUCUGGCAUUUGCGCGUUUCUAUGCAUGCACGUCUCCAGUCGUGCGUUAGUGGUGCGUCGGAGGAGGUAUGAAUGGGCAGAGAGGGGUGUUCUCUCUCACACACCGUCACAGCUCUGGGAUGAGGAGUGCCAUCUACUCCACUACACGUCUGCUGUGCUGCUGAAAGAAGACGAACAGGGAAGUAAAGGAGCUUUACAGCGUGACAUCAAGAAAUUUCAAAAGGACAAGUUAACCUAUCCUGAAGUUGCUUUAUCAGUGACCUAAGAACAUCUUCAAAUCAGCCAUGGAGCAGAAGACAAAUGAGUGUCACACCUCCACCUCUCUGCAGAAGCACAUGAAGAACAGGUCUAAAUCCACAGAGGAGACACAACAGUCCAGGAAGGCAUUCUCCUCACAAAAGUCACUGCCAGGCAGGCCAGAUCUGGACAAAGUGAAGGAGAGUCCCGAAGGCCCUGACACACUUUCCUCCUCCACAGAAGAGUUAAAGUGACAUAAAAAAUCACCUUAAAGCCACUAAAUAACUCAUAGAAAAUGUACAUAUGUUAACAAAAAAAAAAAAAAAAAAAAGAAUCUUUAUGAUCCAUUUAAGCUGUGGAUACAAUGCUGAAACAACCGGCAUGAAACAAACUUCCAUUUGAUGAAGCUGUGUCAUUGUGCUGUGACUUGUAAAACUGUUUAGUAAUAGUAAAGUGAUGUUGUAUAACUGCA